rnacentral:rRNA from 1 species
GAUUUCUGACUUGGUGCGCGCUGUCCGUUGCGGUUACGUGACGUGUGCAGUAGCGCGCCUGUCAUACUUCUGGAUUUUGAUGUUGCCCUUCACUGGGUGAUGUCGCUAUCUAGAUCUUUUACUUUGAAAAAAUUAGAGUGUUUAAAGCAGGCUCGCGCUAUGAAUACAUUAGCAUGGAAUAAUAAUUUAGGACUUCUGUUCUAUUUUGUUGGUUUCUAGGAUGGAAGUAAUGAUUGAUAGGGAUAGUUGGGGGUGCUAGUAUUCAGAGGCCAGAGGUGAAAUUCUUGGAUUCUCUGAAGACUAACUUAUGCGAAAGCAUU